rnacentral:rRNA from 1 species
AGGACGAACGCUGGCGGCGUGCCUCAUACAUGCAAGUGGAGCGACGAACCAGGGCUUGCCCUGGUGCAAAGCCGCGAACGGGUGAGUAACACGUGGAUAACCUGCCCCGAUGACCGGGAUAACCCGAGGAAACUCGAGCUAAUACCGGAUGUGCUCGCAACCCAUAAGGGUUGCGCGUAAAGGAAGCUUCGGCCUCCGCAUUGGGAGGGGUCCGUGGCCCAUUAGCUAGUUGGUGGGGUAACGGCCUACCAAGGCGACGAUCGGUAGCUGGUCUGAGAGGACGGCCAGCCACACGGGGGACUGAGACACGGCCCCGACUCCUACGGGAGGCAGCAGCGAGGAAUCUUGGUCAAUGGGCGCAAGCCUGAACCAGCGACGCCGCGUGCAGGAUGAAGGCCCUCGGGUCGUAAACUGCUUUUCUAAGGGACGAAGCUCUGACGGUACCUUAGGAAUAAGCCACGGCUAACUACGUGCCAGCAGCCGC